rnacentral:rRNA from 1 species
GAUCAUGGCUCAGAUUGAACGCUGGCGGCAGGCCUAACACAUGCAAGUCGAGCGGUAGAGAGAAGCUUGCUUCUCUUGAGAGCGGCGGACGGGUGAGUAAUGCCUAGGAAUCUGCCUGGUAGUGGGGGAUAACGUCCGGAAACGGACGCUAAUACCGCAUACGUCCUACGGGAGAAAGCAGGGGACCUUCGGGCCUUGCGCUAUCAGAUGAGCCUAGGUCGGAUUAGCUAGUUGGUGGGGUAA